rnacentral:lncRNA from 13 species
CAGAUUUUGAAAACUUCCUCUUGGGAUCAAACAUUCAACAAGAAAAUUUUCCCUGGAAAUAGCCGAUCAGGGAUUCCCCAACUUUUAAAAACAGUUUGGCCUGUGACAGUUCCCCAUUUCUGCAUAUAAUUAAUGUCUUACAGCAUGUAUUCAUCUCUAAGUGUAAAUAUACAAGAAUUUUGUUUAGAGGCUUUUUUUUUUUUUGGAGAAUUUUUGAACCCACUUUUUAAAUUACUGGAACCAUCAGGAAUCUGAGGACAAUUGGUUCACUUCCUGGUAACACCAUUCAAGCCUGAGAUGUUCCUUCCCUAAAGGCAAACUUCUGAGGCUUUCAGUCUCUGAAGGAACAAAAUCAAAACUGCUUGAACAAGUAUCCCGGCUGGAGGAAAAACUGGAGCUGUGAAACACAAGGAAGCCCGUGAGGAACCAUAUGAAGAAAUGCUACUUGCAAAAGACCAGUGCAUCGAGAAAUUGCAAGCUGAAGUAAAAGCUUCCCAGGAGCAACUUAUAGCCCAUGAGAGCCAGAGGACCAGACUUGGAAAUGGAAGCCGGAAUAAUGGUCAAAUCACACCACAGAACUUCCCCAGGUAGCCUACCAC